GCGCCGCCGCCCCGCGCGCACCCCGCGGCCGAGCCCGGGUCGGGGGGCCGGGGCGUGCGGGGCGGAGGGUGGGGGAAGACCCGGGAGAGGCGCGGCCUAGGGCCGGAGGAAGGGUGGGCUUUCCCGCAGAGUUGCCGCUAGAGGACGGAAAGUUUUUGCAUGCAGCCCUUCCAGCGUGUCCUUGCCUCGCCGGGUCCCUGUCGCCCACGGUGGGGCGCCCCCGCGGGGAUCCCCGCGGCUUAGAGGGGAGGAGCCGAGCAGGUUUGCACCCCACCGCCACGACCGCCCCAAGCCAAGGAAGGGACCCUGGGGACCUCUCUUCCCAGCCGCCACCCCCUUCCCCCUGUCUUUUUCACGGAGGACCUCGGAUCGUGGAGGACUCUGCGGAUGCCACUGGGAGCUGAGACCAACGCGCAGGUGGAAGUGGUCCCCAAAAGCAGACACUGUGCUUGGCAAAUCCAUCCAUCCAUCCAUCCAUCCAUCCAUCCAUCCAUUCAUCUUGUCAACAAAUAUUGCCUGUCAUGGACCAGCUGGCCUCAGCAGAGGAAGACAAAUGAGACCCAGCCCGGCUCCUGUGGAGGUGCAUUCUGGUGGUGCCUGUGGAAGAAGGAAGGUGUGAAGCUUAUCAGUAGCUUGGGAGAACAAGACAUGUGCCCAGUUCCUGCCCAGGGCAGUGAAGGGUGUCUCUCCCAGAGCUGUGCCUGUUCAUCUGUUCAUAGGAGGGACUGAAAUCUAGUUUGGAGGGAGCAGAAAACGUGUCGCAGAGAAGAUGGGAUCUUCCUUGCGUCUUGGAAAUUGGGAAGGAUUUAUAAUGGACAUCUCCUGAUGGCACUGGGCCGUGUCAGGAAGGUCACUGGAAACCGAACUUCACUUCACGCUCACAGGGCACCAGUACCAUACAGGCGGGCCAGUGGCCACAGCCAGCGUGGAUGCGAUGACAGCCUCCCCUGAGGGGAAUUCCCAAAUCAGGCAUCUCAGACUUGGGAAAUGAAUUGUUGGGAGACGCUGUCUUUCAAGAUCUGAAAAGGCCGACCCCUGUGCGUGGUGGUGGAGACUCCGUGUGGAUAUUCCCAUCUGUUGGUCAUCCCAGAGGGAGAAGGACGAGCUGUGAAAAGUGAAGGUGGACGGGAGGAGGGGCAGGCCUGAGACGGGCUGGGCCCUGGACCUCCCAGAGAGCCAGCACCGAAGGUCUCCCCCAGUGGUGGGAACGAGGCAGGUGAGAGGCUGUUGUGGGCUGGGAGCCGGGCCAGGGAGCGUCCAUAGGGGAACCUGUCUGGGACGACCUAGGUAUGACUCUGGAAUCCUUCAAACCCAGUGUCCAGUCGUAAGGUUCUCUGUGUCGUCAUUUCUCUUGCUUCUGUCAAGUUUUUAAAUGACCUGGUCUUAGAUAGCUGUGCUGUGGGAAAUUAAGUUUGGGGCUUAUACUUAUAUGGCAGCCUCAGUAGGCAGGUUGAAAGUUGCCAGCCUUACUUCAUGCCAGCCUUGUGUGGUAACAGCACCGUUAUUCCAGAGAGGGGUGCUGUCCCCAGACUCCAGGAGGCGGCCAGGUGCCAGGUGAGCAGAGGGAUGCCUACGCUGUGAUGGCUCAGGUCCCUAACCCUUUCCUCCAGCCCCAGCCUGAUCCCCUCAAAGGGAGGAAAUCCUGAAAACGAGAGGCCAGAGUUUGGGUUAUAUUUGUAUGACAGGAAGGAGAAGCCUAGUGCCUUUAAGGUCAUGAAACAAUUGUUGCAGAACUUAGAGCUAGGCUGGGGUCUCCAUUGUCUGGAGGUCAGCUUGCUUAUAGAUUACACUUCCUGAGAACGAUGCUAAGGCUGUAAAUGUAAAUCUCCAUGUGGACCAGCGGUUCUCAACCAAGAGCGAGUCUGCCGCCUUCGCCCUCCCCCACUCCACCCCGAGGACAUUGGCAACGUCUGGAGACAUUUUUGGUUGUCAUGACCGGGGGUGAGGUACCACUGGCAUCUAGUGGGUAGAGGCCACGGAUGCUGGUAAACAUCCCACUGUGAGAUGCACAGGACGGCCCCCAACAACGAAGAUUUAUCCCCAAAAUGGUAGUCAUGGGAUUGAUGUAGGCCAAUUCAUUGCAGGUUUCCUUUAUUUUUUCAUUUCCAGAGAAUGAACGCCUGACCCUCGUCAGCCACUUUGCCAUCGUGGGCUGCUUUCAUCACGCAGAAACCUAGCCAGGAGUGUGGUGGGAGCUGUGAGACCCUCCAUCCCUAUGAGAAAAACCCCGGGUCCUUUUGCUUUCAAUAUAUGAAGGCCAAAUUAUGUUAUCGGAUGGAUACUAUUUGUGGAAUCAAAGAAAAUGUCCCCAAUCUCCAAACCAAGCCACUUUACUUGGAGUAGCAUUCCGUCUAUAUGUAUAUACAUAUGGAUGAGCCAGUCCUGGUGGUCUAGUGGUUAAGAUUCCGUGGAGCACGGCAGCUCAGGUUCGAUUCUGGUCAGGGACCCACACCACCCGUCUGUCGCUUGUCACACUGACAGCUGCGUGUUGCUGUGAUGCUGAAACCUAUGCCACUGGUAUUUCAAAUUUCACCCAUGGU